rnacentral:rRNA from 1 species
AGCUCGUGUCGUGAGAUGUUGGGUUAAGUCCCGCAACGAGCGCAACCCUUGUCUUUAGUUGCCAUCAUUAAGUUGGGCACUCUAGAGAGACUGCCAGGGAUAACCUGGAGGAAGGUGGGGAUGACGUCAAAUCAUCAUGCCCCUUAUGCUUAGGGCUACACACGUGCUACAAUGGGUAGUACAGAGGGUUGCCAAGCCGUAAGGUGGAGCUAAUCCCUUAAAGCUACUCUCAGUUCGGAUUGUAGGCUGAAACUCGCCUACAUGAAGCUGGAGUUACUAGUAAUCGCAGAUCAGAAUGCUGCGGUGAAUGCGUUCCCGGGUCUUGUACACACCGCCCGUCACACCACGGGAGUUGGAGACGCCCGAAGCCGAUUAUCUAACCUUUUGGAAGAAGGCGUCGAAGGUGGAAUCAAUAACUGGGGUGAAGUCGUAACAAGGUAGCCGUAUCGGAAGGUGCGGCUGGAUCACCUCCUUUCUAAGGA